GUGCCUAACACAUGCAAGUCGAACGAGAAAGGGGAGCAAUCCCUGAGUAAAGUGGCGACCGGGUGAGUAACACGUGACUAACCUACCUUCGAGUGGGGGAUAACCUAGGGAAACCUGGGCUAAUACCGCAUAACAUCUUUGGAGUGGAAAUUCUGGAGAUCAAAGGAGUAAUUCGCUUGAAGAGGGGGUCGCGGCUGAUUAGCUAGUUGGCGGGGUAAUGGCCCACCAAGGCUUUGAUCGGUAGCCGGCCUGAGAGGGCGCACGGCCACACUGGAACUGAAACACGGUCCAG
rnacentral:rRNA from 1 species